GGCCAAAAAUACCCGGCGGGCCGCGACGCCAGCGCCAUCUACUAUGUAUAAAAUUAUCCGCCGAGAGUGAAGUCGUAGUCACUUCAGGUCUGCCUUUUGCCCCGUUUACGUGGUGUGCUAGAGGCUAAGUCACAAUGGCUGCGGAUCUCAGUGCUCGCGACGUUGAGAGGGUGAAAUUCGCCUUCUCAAUCUAUGACUUCGAGGGCAAUGGCACGAUGGACGCCUUCUACAUCGGCGACUGCCUCCGAGCCCUGAACCUGAACCCCACCCUGGCUGUCAUUGAGAAGGUUGGAGGCAAGGACAAGAAGAAGGAAAAGAUGAUCAAGGUUGAUGACUUCAUGCCCAUUUUCGCUCAGGUCAAGAAGGACAAGGACGCCGGCUCUUACGAGGACUUCAUGGAGGUGCUUAAGCUCUACGACAAGUCUGAGAACGGCUUGAUGAUGUACGCUGAGCUCGAACACAUCCUCCUUUCCCUUGGUGAGCGCCUCGAAAAGAGCGAACUGGAGCCCGUCCUGAAGGAGUGCUGUGAAGAGGAGGACGAAGACGGCUUCAUUCCCUAUGAACCCUUCCUUGCGAAACUCUGCAAAGAUAUCAAGUAAACAAGAAAAAUGCUAAUGCCCUUCCUAAAGAGAGUUUUGGCCUACAAAGUCUAAAAGGAUGAUUCUACUUUCCUGAAGAAGAUUGCUGCCAUACUCUAAAUCCGCUCUCCAAAUCCGCUCUCCAUCUUCAACUCUUGACGUCAGAACGGGAGUGCGCAUGAGUACACCAUCGUCAUUCGGAGUGUCAAUGCAGUGUACAAUCAUUCUGUGAGCACAGCUAACCCACAGACAUUUAUAAUCAGUUAUAGUAAAUUGAAGUAAAAAGAAACACCAACAGCGACAUCAAGAAGAAGGAUUAUAUAUUCAGUUAUCAAGUGAUUGCAGCCGAAGAAAAAUAACAAUAAAUCUUUGUCCUCUAUAAUAUUUAUUUCUUAAAGGAACGAGAGGCACCACCCGUUACAUGCUCAUUUUGUCCUUCUGUCUGUGUGUGUACAUGUGUGUGCGCGAACGUGUGUGCGUGUGUGUGCGUGCGUGUAGCAGCGUGAAGGUCCCAUGGAUCUCUGAAGCGUCUCCUUUUUCAUCCACGCUGGGCCUCGGGGGGGGCGGAGGGUGAAGGCGGCGGCGGGCACGGACGCGAGACCUGUUGACCAGACCUGAAGUGACCACUUGAUCCGCAUAGCCAGCCCGCCCUGCGCCACCUAGCGGCGGGUGGCUACAACGCCAUUACCGUGCACCGCCGCAGCCCCGCACUCCACCGGUUGUCCAUCACCAGGGGCUGCGUGGGGCACCACCCGCCCGAUCCGCCCUGCCUCCCCCGCCUCCCCCUGCACGCCCACGAGAGCCUCUGCCACACCCGACAAAGGUGACCAGGGGGAGUGUCACAGUCAGCCAGUCUAGACGAUCAGUUAACAAGGCCGCCCACUUCAGUCAGUCAGUCAGUCAGUCCGCUCGGAACGGCAUCGUUUACCAAUAACUGCUGUCUGUAGGCACAUUGGUUAAGUUCUCUAUCGUCUCAAUAAAAGGAAAACAUCUUGA